GACGAACGCUGGCGGCGUGCCUAAUACAUGCAAGUCGAACGCUUUUUCUUUCACCGGAGCUUGCUCCACCGAAAGAAAAAGAGUGGCGAACGGGUGAGUAACACGUGGGUAACCUGCCCAUCAGAAGGGGAUAACACUUGGAAACAGGUGCUAAUACCGUAUAACACUAUUUUCCGCAUGGAAGAAAGUUGAAAGGCGCUUUUGCGUCACUGAUGGAUGGACCCGCGGUGCAUUAGCUAGUUGGUGGGGUAACGGCUCACCAAGGCAACGAUGCAUAGCCGGCCGGGGAGGGUGAUCGGCCACACUGGGACUGAGACACGGCCCAGACUCCUACGGGAGGCAGCAGUAGGGAAUCUUCGGCAAUGGACGAAAGUCUGACCGAGCAACGCCGCGUGAGUGAAGAAGGUUUUCGGAUCGUAAAACUCUGUUGUUAGAGAAGAACAAGGAUGAGAGUAGAACGUUCAUCCCUUGACGGUAUCUAACCAGAAAGCCACGGCUAACUACGUGCCAGCCGCCGCCGUAA
rnacentral:rRNA from 1 species